GAUGAACGCUAGCUACAGGCUUAACACAUGCAAGUCGAGGGGAAACGGCAUCGAAAGCUUGCUUUUGAUGGGCGUCGACCGGCGCACGGGUGAGUAACGCGUAUCCAACCUGCCCAUCACUUGGGAAUAACCUUGCGAAAGUAAGACUAAUGCCCAAUGACAUCCCACGAAGGCAUCCGAAUGGGAUUAAAGAUUUAUCGGUGAUGGAUGGGGAUGCGUCUGAUUAGCUUGUUGGCGGGGUGACGGCCCACCAAGGCAACGAUCAGUAGGGGUUCUGAGAGGAAGGUCCCCCACAUUGGAACUGAGACACGGUCCAAACUCCUACGGGAGGCAGCAGUGAGGAAUAUUGGUCAAUGGGCGAGAGCCUGAACCAGCCAAGUAGCGUGCAGGAUGACGGCCCUAUGGGUUGAAAACUGCUUUUAUAAGGGAAUAAAGUGGGUCACGUGUGACUUUUUGCAUGUACCUUAUGAAUAAGGACCGGCUAAUUCCGUG
rnacentral:rRNA from 1 species